UACAGAGGUCCCAAGCGUUGUUCGGAUUCAUUGGGCGUAAAGAGCGUGUAGGCGGCCAGGUAGGUCUGCUGUGAAAACUCGAGGCUCAACCUCGAGACGUCGGCGGAAACCAUCUGGCUAGAGUCCGGAAGAGGAGAGUGGAAUUCCUGGUGUAGCGGUGGAAAUGCGCAGAUAUCAGGAAGAACACCCGUGGCGAAGGCGGCUCUCUGGGAACGG
rnacentral:rRNA from 1 species